AUGGACCCUCGCCUCCCACGGAGCCAAAGCAUUCCGUCAAUCCUCACGCUCCAGCUAGCUGACAGAAGGACCACCCGUCACCUUGGCGCUUUCCUUUGCGCAGGCGCAAUUCCUGGCCCUUCGUUGCUACAGUUACUGGACGUUGCUUUGGCUAUGGUGGGGCAAUUCAGAGCUGACAGUGAAUUUGGCCGCAGGGCCCCUGGGGGCUUCCUGACACAAUGGCCUGGCCCAGGGGUCUCCAGCUGCCCAGACCCAGAUCGGGAGCCCCACUGUGUCCCCAUCGAUGCUGGCCCGCCCAGACCCAAAAGAAGAAGGGGGAACCCCUGCCUCAGACCCCCCUGCCUGGCCCCUGGGACCCUGAGAGGCAGCCCUUGGCUUCCGCAAGGUCCACUCUCCGGAGUUACUUCCCUGUUGGGUUCUGCCACCCUGGCAGUGCCAAUGCCGUGGGCACCAGCUUGUCUACGGAAGCCCCUGGAGAGACCCUAUCAAAAUUCCGUAGAAGAAAGGCAAGAAUCAAGGAAUUCCCUGAAGCAAAAGAAUGAAAAGGAAAGGCUUUCUGUCUUCAGUGUGGAUGUAGAGGAAACCCCCGAGAGUUUCUUGACAGAGAAAAAGGAAAAUCGUUUUUUCCAAACUGAAGCGAGAACAGCAUGUUCGGGCUUUUUGGAAGCAGAAGAGAGGGAGCCUGUGACCAAGAAAGAGAGAGAUUGGAGUUCCCAUCAAGAGUUUAGAGAAAAUCCCCUGCCCCUCUGCUUCCCUAGUUUUCCUAGGGAAAGGGAUGGAGUUCUCUCAAUAUACCCUAAGUUAAAUUGCUUCUCAAAGAAUGGAGCAGAGUCCAAGUCCAUGGAUGUGGAUGUGCAGGAAAAGCAUGAUAAACCGGGCUCACCAUUUGCUCAGGCUUCAUCUCCAAAUGCUACCAGAAUGGAAAGAAUUCUAAAAACCUGGCAGCAUUGGUGUAGCAUUCCCUUUGAAGGGGAUAUGGUUAUGGAGCCACUUUCCAUCUACCCAGAGAAUUCACCAUGGCCAGCAUCUGUGGCAUUUCUAGGUGAUCUGCAAACUUCUCCAGUUUAUCUCUAUGGGAACCAGAAUAUCUUCAAGAAGGAUAAGUGGCCUCACUACAUCCGUGGCUCUAAAACCCCUAGGCACCCACAUCCCAGGUGCUGUCAAGGUGCUUGA
rnacentral:lncRNA from 1 species